CGUAAACUCACGAACGGGAUCCGUACGUGCACUUCACUCCACGAGCUCCAAACUCACGAAUCGCCAACAUUAGCCGAACGCAGGUAUCUCCCAAGCGGCUAAUAAUCCCAUCCAGCAGUCUCUAGUCGUCGGUAAUAAAUCCCCCCUAUAACGAGACCAAGCUCCGCAUUGGGGGUAAAACAAGAACUGGCUUUACUGUGGGCUACCUGCCCGUAUUUAUGCAGGUCUCCCACUUGGUGGACACUCCCCUAGGGGACCAAAUGGGAAACUGUGACAACAGAUAGACAUAUGGCAGUUCAGGACCCACAGACACGAAAUAUUCCCAGCAUGUAAUAGUAAUUCCUCCCAUCUGCCCUGGAGAUAAUUGAGAAGUAAUUCAAUUAUCUCCAGGCCAGAGGCAAAUCGCCAUUUUAAAUUCAACACAUAAAAACACAUAAAAAUAGAUAACUUUACAUUUGUCGAAUACUAUCCAUUCGUAUCACAUAUCCCCAGAUAGCCUGGAUCUGAGUGCAUAUUAUUGGCAAG